UACGGGGGGGGCAAGCGUUGUUCGGAAUUACGGGGCGUAAAGGGCGCGUAGGCGGCCUUCUAAGUCAGACGUGAAAUCCCUCGGCUCAACCGAGGAACUGCGUCUGAUACUGGAAGGCUUGAAUCCGGGAGAGGGAUGUGGAAUUCCAGGUGUAGCGGUGAAAUGCGUAGAUAUCUGGAGGAACACCGGUGGCGAAGGCGGCUCACUGGCCCGAUACUGACGCUGAGGCACGAAAGCGUGGGGAGCAAACAGG
rnacentral:rRNA from 1 species